AGAUGCAAAGCGAGGAAACCGAUAUAGCUGGGUAGUGCCGCGCAUGUUUGUUGCGGGGUAGGAGGUGAAUGAGGCGAGUGGAUGGUAUCUCUCCUGCUGAGGUGGAGACGGCUCAGUAUGAGUACCUGGGAGCCCGGGAGGGCGCUGAGGGUGCCCACCAUCCCCCUUUCCAAUGGUUUGAACAUCCCCCUGUUGGGGCUGGGAACAUCUCAUCAAGGUGGCUACUCCCAUGAUGCUGUGGUAUAUGCACUACAAAAAUGUGGCAUUCAUCAUAUCGACACAGCAAAGAGAUAUGGCUGUGAAUCGCUUCUGCAGAAGGCUAUCAAGGAGAGUGGUGUGAAGCGGGAGGACCUCUGGAUAACUACCAAACUCUGGCAUACUGAUUAUGGCUACGAAAAGACAAAACAAGCCUGCUUAGAGUCCUGCAAGAGACUUGGUGUUGAAUAUCUAGAUCUUUAUUUAGUGCAUUGGCCUGAUGCCCAGGUCCCUGGUAAAAGCAACCGAGAAGUCAGAGCAGAAACCUGGCGAGCCAUGGAGGAGCUCUACGAGAGAGGAUUAUGUCGGUCUAUUGGAGUAAGCAACUUUCUCAUUGAUCAUUUGGAGCAACUAAAGGAAGACUGCCAGGUAACCCCACAUGUUAAUCAGGUUGAAUACCAUCCUUUCCAGAGGCCUCAAGAAUUAGUGGAUUACUGUCGAAGCAGGAAUAUUGUUUUCGAAGGCUACUGCCCAUUAGCUAAAGGUGAAGCCCUUACUCAUACUAACAUAAUUCAGCUUGCAAAGAAAUAUGACAGAACUCCUGCACAGAUCUGUAUCCGCUGGAGCAUACAGAACGGCAUUGUCACUAUUCCAAAAUCUACAAAGCCAGAAAGAGUCCAGGAAAACUGUCAGGUCUUUGAUUUUUCACUAGCAGAAGAUGAUGUUGCAAUUCUAAAUAGAAUGCAUGAUGGGAGACAUGUUUCCUGGGAUCCAACCCCAAUUGCUUAAAUGCCAAGAGGAUACUGAGCAUAUUCCUGCACCUGAACCAAGUUUUUCAGGGACAGAGGCUGAAGAACUGAGUCAAAUAGAGGUGAUGAGAGAGGAUGUUCAACUCUGUUAGUCUGGAAGCAUAGUGUACAAAAGUCCUAUUUUGUGGAAAGGUCUUUGAUUUCAGUCUAGAAAAAGAAGAUAUGGAAUGCUUGGACUCCAUGAACAUCAACAGAAAGUUGAUUCACCUUACCUACCCAUUAUGGAAAGGAUAGUCUUUGAUUGUUCUAAAUUGCAGAAGCUCCAAAUAUGAUGAUCUCUGGACUGCCUGUAAUCUGUCUCUGCUUUUCUGCUAAAUGCAUUAAGGACUUCUGCAAAUGGCACAUGGUAUUGUUGAAUACUUCAGACACAACCCUAUCUUUCUUUUAUUGACAAAUCAUUUUGAGUAAUCCAGUGCUCCCAUUUUCCAGUCUCACUAAAAUAUUGUUUUGGGAAAUUAUGAGUCAUUCUUCAGCCCAACUGGACCUGAUCAUAAAUGACAUUACUGAAGACAACUACAGUCCUGUGAUUCUGGCCAUAUGUGAAGCAGAUGGAGUUUACCAAUGGAUGUUGGUGGAAAUUAGUUGGUCUGGUUAAUUUAAAAUCUUGUCUACACACCAGUUUUGCUUGAGAAUAACUAAAUCAGCUUAGAAUCAGAUGCUGCUAUUAAAUCAUUGCAAUCCAAUUUUACUGGCAGUAUAAAUAUUUAAACCAGUA